AUGUUGUUAACCAGCCAAAAGUGUGUAUGGGGAUUCCUCGUUUUCUCAGAAAUAGACGAGGAUGCCAAGGCCCUUGUUGGCUGGUUCUUGUUGGCUUCAAUAACUAGCGUUCCCCACUCAAUCAAGCCAAGCAAUUGCACUGUUUUGUUGAGUCCAGAUUCUCCGCCGCAACAAGGAGGUCACCACGGCCAGGGAUCCAAAUCUGUCCGGAUCGAUAUAUAUUCAUAUAUUGAUUACAAGCCAGGUGUGUUUCCCUUAGUUUUUGUUCCUGAUUCUCUUGUUAUUAUCCUACUAGGGGUUACUACAAUUACCCUAUCUUGGUCGAUGCAAAAUUAA
rnacentral:rRNA from 1 species